UACGGGGGGGGCAAGCGUUGUUCGGAGUUACUGGGCGUAAAGCGUGCGCAGGCGGUUCGCAAAGUCUGAUGUGAAAGCCCCGGGCUCAACCUGGGAACUGCAUUGGAAACUAGCGGGCUCGAGUGUGGCAGAGGGGGGUGGAAUUCCACGUGUAGCAGUGAAAUGCGUAGAGAUGUGGAGGAACACCGAUGGCGAAGGCAAUCCCCUGGACCUGUACUGACGCUCAUGCACGAAAGCGUGGGGAGCAAACAGG
rnacentral:rRNA from 1 species